GAUGAACGCUGGCGGCGUGCCUAAUACAUGCAAGUCGAGCGAACGGACGAGAAGCUUGCUCCUCUGACGUUAGCGGCGGACGGGUGAGUAACACGUGGAUAACCUACCUAUAAGACUGGGAUAACUUCGGGAAACCGGAGCUAAUACCGGAUAAUAUUUUGAACCGCAUGGUUCAAAAGUGAAAGACGGUCUUGCUGUCACUUAUAGAUGGAUCCGCGCCGCAUUAGCUAGUUGGUAAGGUAACGGCUUACCAAGGCAACGAUGCAUAGCCGACCUGAGAGGGUGAUCGGCCACACUGGAACUGAGACACGGUCCAGACUCCUACGGGAGGCAGCAGUAGGGAAUCUUCCGCAAUGGGCGAAAGCCUGACGGAGCAACGCCGCGUGAGUGAUGAAGGUCUUCGGAUCGUAAAACUCUGUUAUUAGGGAAGAACAUAUGUGUAAGUAACUGUGCACAUCUUGACGGUACCUAAUCAGAAAGCCACGGCUAACUACGUG
rnacentral:rRNA from 1 species